rnacentral:rRNA from 1 species
GACGAACGCUGGCGGCGUGCUUAACACAUGCAAGUCGAGCGGAAAGGCUCCUUCGGGGGUACUCGAGCGGCGAACGGGUGAGUAACACGUGAGUAAUCUGCCCUGUGCUCUGGGAUAGCCACCGGAAACGGUGAUUAAUACCGGAUACAACCACUAUCCGCAUGGGUUGGUGGUGGAAAGUUUUUUCGGCACAGGAUGUGCUCGCGGCCUAUCAGCUUGUUGGUGAGGUAAUGGCUCACCAAGGCUUUGACGGGUAGCCGGCCUGAGAGGGUGACCGGUCACACUGGGGCUGAGACACGGCCCAGACUCCUACGGGAGGCAGCAGUGGGGAAUAUUGGACAAUGGGCGGAAGCCUGAUCCAGCAACGCCGCGUGAGGGAUGACGGCCUUCGGGUUGUAAACCUCUUUCAGUACCGACGAAGCGCAAGUGACGGUAGGUACAGAAGAAGGACCGGCCAACUACGUGCCAGCCGCCGCCGUAAAAC